rnacentral:lncRNA from 1 species
UAGGUCCGCCAUCUUGGUAGCGUCCACGAAGCGGAGACUCCGCACUGCGCUGCCGUACACGACGAAACCCGCACGGAUACAGAAAGCGCGAAAAGUGUUCUCUUGCGCAAAUCGACCCACAUCGGAAAUGCCAACACACUGUUGUGUACCCUGUUGUAAACAGCGAGGACCUAAGGAUCCUGGCGGGAACAAGGUUUCGUAUCACCGCUUCCCAACAGACAACACAGUAUACAAGAGGUGGAUCAUCGCCAUCAAGCGUGAUGAAGGGAAAUACUUCAAGGUGACGAAAUCCACAAAAGUCUGUUCAAAGCAUUUCUUGCCAUCGGACUUCAUUCCGGGUGUAUCUUGUGUCAACAACUUACUGAGACGCCUGCCCCAGUGUAUUCAACUUUGGCAAAAUGCGACAGCAGCGCAAGCCACCUAAGGAGCGAACACAGAGUGCCUGUCUGCAAGCACAUCCGAUUUCAGAUCAAGAUGCCGCUCAAUCUUCGACUGUGGAAGACCGGGGAGCUGGUCCUUUGGCUGCAGCAGAUCUCGAGUCUGAUUCAGCUGAAAUGGAGGGAGACCACACUAGCUGUUCACCUACUGCUGGCGCAUUGGGAGGUUCUGGCAAGCCUGCCAUUGAGGUGCAACAUCUGAAAAGAAAAGCCAAACCAGUUGUGACAUCCAUGAACGCAGUGCAGGUUGUUAAAGCAAUACUUAUGUCCGUAUCAGUGGUGUUAUCCCUCAACAAUGAGACUAAAUAAAAAUUUAAUCGUGGUU